AUCAGCUCCUCAUUUAGUUCAGUUCAUGCUGUUUGUGCCUUUGUGACUCCACUAAGCCUUUUCCUAGCUCGUUUGUGAGAACCAGUUACAGCCUUUAUUCCUAGUUUUGAUUCACCUGCCUAUUUGCCUACCUGUGUAUGACCAUUUCCUGCCUUCUGUGAAGGCGAAAUAAACAUCUGCCACGCUCUGCACGUGAAUCUACACCUUUUUCUCCGCAGUUUUUUGGGGAUGCAUAAAUCACGAUGUGAGUCGUGUCCAAAUGGGGAAUUACCAGUCCCCUGGGGCCCUUUGCUAUAGGACCAUGCCUCAGGACUACCUGGCCUGAUGACUCCUUGCUGUCCCUGUCCUCAGUCCACCUGGCUGUGCUGCUGAUUCGGUUUCUGCUGUUCUGCCUGCGGUUAUGGAACCCUGACCUGUUCACCGGACGUUCUACCUUGCCG
ensembl:lncRNA